CGUUAGAUUAGCUAGUUGGUGGGGUAAAGGCCUACCAAGGCGACGAUCUAUAGCUGGUCUGAGAGGACGAUCAGCCACACUGGGACUGAGACACGGCCCAGACUCCUACGGGAGGCAGCAGUGGGGAAUAUUGGACAAUGGGCGAAAGCCUGAUCCAGCAAUACCGCGUGUGUGAAGAAGGCCUUCGGGUUGUAAAGCACUUUCAAUUGGGAGGAAAACCUACCGGUCAAUACCCGGUAGCUUGACAUUACCUUUAGAAGAAGCACCGGCUAACUCC
rnacentral:rRNA from 1 species